GAGAUUGAUCCUGGCUCAGGACGAACGCUGGCGGCGUGCUUAACACAUGCAAGUCGAACGAUGAAGCCCUUCGGGGUGGAUUAGUGGCGAACGGGUGAGUAACACGUGGGCAAUCUGCCCUUCACUCUGGGACAAGCCCUGGAAACGGGGUCUAAUACCGGAUACCACUCCUGCCUGCAUGGGCGGGAGUUGAAAGCUCCGGCGGUGAAGGAUGAGCCCGCGGCCUAUCAGCUUGUUGGUGGGGUAAUGGCCCACCAAGGCGACGACGGGUAGCCGGCCUGAGAGGGCGACCGGCCACACUGGGACUGAGACACGGCCCAGACUCCUACGGGAGGCAGCAGUGGGGAAUAUUGCACAAUGGGCGAAAGCCUGAUGCAGCGACGCCGCGUGAGGGAUGACGGCCUUCGGGUUGUAAACCUCCC
rnacentral:rRNA from 1 species